rnacentral:rRNA from 1 species
CCUACGGGAGGCAGCAGUGGGGAAUCUUGCGCAAUGGGCGAAAGCCUGACGCAGCCAUGCCGCGUGAAUGAUGAAGGUCUUAGGAUUGUAAAAUUCUUUCACCGGGGACGAUAAUGACGGUACCCGGAGAAGAAGCCCCGGCUAACUUCGUGCCAGCAGCCGCGGUAAUACGAAGGGGGCUAGCGUCGCUCGGAAUUACUGGGCGUAAAGGGAGCGUAGGCGGAUAGUUUAGUCAGAGGUGAAAGCCCAGGGCUCAACCUUGGAAUUGCCUUUGAUACUGGCUAUCUUGAGUGUGGGAGAGGUAUGUGGAACUCCGAGUGUAGAGGUGAAAUUCGUAGAUAUUCGGAAGAACACCAGUGGCGAAGGCGACAUACUGGCCCAUUACUGACGCUGAGGCUCGAAAGCGUGGGGAGCAAACAGGAUUAGAUACCCUGGUAGUCCACGCUGUAAACGAUGAGUGCUAGUUGUCGGCAUGCAUGCAUGUCGGUGACGCAGCUAACGCAUUAAGCACUCCGCCUGGGGAGUACGGUCGCAAGNUUAAAACUCAAAGGAAUUGACGG